GAGGACUGCAGGAAGGGACAUGAGAGAGGAGGCUAUUUUUAUUAUUUUAUUAUUAUUACAAGAUUAAUGGUGGGAUAGGAAAGCAUCCAACAGGAAAUUGUGAUUUUUGCCAGGAAACAGAGACCGUGGAGCAUGUACUGAUACAAUGUGGGCAGUAUCAGAGGGAUGGAGAGAGGCUGAGGUCCAGUAUCAGAGGGAAAGAGAGAGGCUGAGGUCCAGUAUCAGAGGGAAAGAGAGAGGCUGAGGUCCAGUAUCAGAGGGAAAGAGAGAGGCUGAGGUCCAGUAUCAGAGGGAAAGAGAGAGGCUGAGGUCCAGUAUCAGAG
rnacentral:lncRNA from 1 species